rnacentral:rRNA from 1 species
GGAAUAUUGGACAAUGGGCGCAAGCCUGAUCCAGCCAUACCGCGUGGGUGAAGAAGGCCUUCGGGUUGUAAAGCCCUUUUGUUGGGAAAGAAAAGCAGUCGAUUAAUACUCGGUUGUUCUGACGGUACCCAAAGAAUAAGCACCGGCUAACUUCGUGCCAGCAGCCGCGGUAAUACGAAGGGUGCAAGCGUUACUCGGAAUUACUGGGCGUAAAGCGUGCGUAGGUGGUUGUUUAAGUCUGUUGUGAAAGCCCUGGGUUCAACCUGGGAAUUGCAGUGGAUACUGGGCGACUAGAGUGUGGUAGAGGGUAGUGGAAUUCCCGGUGUAGCAGUGAAAUGCGUAGAGAUCGGGAGGAACAUCCAUGGCGAAGGCAGCUACCUGGACCAACACUGACACUGAGGCACGAAAGCGUGGGGAGCAAACAGGAUUAGAUACCCGAG